rnacentral:rRNA from 1 species
CCCAGGUCAUGCGGGGCUACCCGCUGAAUUU